UUAAAUGGAUGAGGUAUAAACUCAAGGAAUAGCAUUGGUCCAGUUGAAAUAGCUCAGAUUUUAAUAGCAAGUUAAGACUAUUUAAAUUCAAAAAAGGCUCAACUUUCUUCCAAUAGUUUUGAUAACCUAAGAUGCUAUCAAAAUGAAAUAACAAACUUUCAAAGAUUCCUAGGAUUUCAGACUCAAGACGGUUUAUUACUGGAAAAAACCCAAUCAAUGUGCAAUUCCUUUGGGCAGUUGUUUUAAUAGAUAGCAGAGGAAUAUUGACAACACUUUGAAGACACAUAUCAAGUAAAUAUAUACUAUCUUCCUUUUUCCUAUAUACUGGUGGAUCAAACUCAAUAAUGUUCCUUUGGAUAGUCAAGUUCGUUGGUUUUAAAAAACCUCUCAGCUUUUCAUACAUAUCAGAAGAAAAUUUACUUUUAAGAUCAUUGUUCUCGUUACCCGAUGUUAAAAUGGUUGUUUUAAAAAAUGAAAGAAAUUUCCGGCAGCGAGAUAUUAAAAGAUCCUGAAACCGUAGGUUAAGCGCUCGGACAAAAGGUGGUAAAUUGGAAUAACCAUUUACAUAAAGAAGAUCAAUGAGAUCCUGUAGCUUUCUUUGAAUAGUUAAAAAGAUAUCGCCACUAUAUUCGCAAAUGUCCAACUGAAACAACUGUUCUUGUAUUUGCAUAUAAGUGUGUGAAAUAGCAUUUCGUUUAUUCAUUAGAAGACUGGUAAGGGAACUGAAUUGAUAAGCAUAAUUUUCAACAUUAGGAUG